UACGUAGGUGGCAAGCGUUGUCCGGAUUUACUGGGUGUAAAGGGCGUGUAGCCGGGUUGACAAGUCAGAUGUGAAAUCCUGCGGCUUAACCGCAGAACUGCAUUUGAAACUGUUGAUCUUGAGUACUGGAGAGGCAGACGGAAUUCCUAGUGUAGCGGCGAAAUGCGUAGAUAUUAGGAGGAACACCAGUGGCGAAGGCGGUCUGCUGGACAGCAACUGACGGUGAGGCGCGAAAGCGUGGGGAGCAAACAGG
rnacentral:rRNA from 1 species